rnacentral:pre_miRNA from 1 species
UUAAUACUCCCUUCGUCCCAAAAUACUUGUCUUAGAUUUGUCUAGAUACGGAUGUAUCUAGGCACAUACAAAUCUAAGACAAGUAUUUUGGGACAGAGGUUGUACAAG